rnacentral:rRNA from 1 species
UACGUAGGGGGCUAGCGUUGUCCGGAAUCAUUGGGCGUAAAGAGCGUGUAGGCGGCCCUGUAAGUCCGCUGUGAAAGUCAAGGGCUCAACCCUUGAAUGCCGGUGGAUACUGCAGGGCUAGAGUCCGGAAGAGGAGUGUGGAAUUCCUGGUGUAGCGGUGAAAUGCGCAGAUAUCAGGAAGAACACCUAUGGCGAAGGCAGCACUCUGGGACGGUACUGACGCUGAGACGCGAAAGCGUGGGGAGCGAACAGG